rnacentral:rRNA from 1 species
GACGUAGGGCGCGAGCGUUGUCCGGAUUUAUUGGGCGUAAAGAGCUCGUAGGCGGCUUGUCGCGUCGACCGUGAAAACUUGGGGCUCAACCCCAAGCCUGCGGUCGAUACGGGCAGGCUAGAGUUCGGUAGGGGAGACUGGAAUUCCUGGUGUAGCGGUGAAAUGCGCAGAUAUCAGGAGGAACACCGGUGGCGAAGGCGGCAUCCUGGACCGACACUGACGCUGAGGAGCGAAAGCCAGGGGAGCAAACGGG